rnacentral:rRNA from 1 species
GGUGUUGCAUGGCUGUCGUCAGCUCGUGUCGUGAGAUGUUCGGUUAAGUCCGCUAACGAGCGCAACCCUCGCUGUAUGUUACAGUGUGUCAUACAGGACCGCCGGUAUCAAGCCGGAGGAAGGUGGGGAUGACGUCAAGUCCGCAUGGCCUUUAUGUCCGGGGCUACACACACGCUACAAUGGUCGGUACAAUGGGUUGCUAAGCCGCGAGGUGGAGCCAAUCCCCCAAAGCCGGCCUCAGUUCAGAUUGCAGGCUGCAACUCGCCUGCAUGAAGCUGGAGUUGCUAGUAAACGCGCGUCAGCUAUAGUGCGUUGAAUACGUUCUCGGGCCUU